GCAACGUCUGCCUGGUGGCUCAGCCCCAUCCCGGAAUAGCCUCCUUCCUCCCCUCCCUUCCCCCGUAAAAAUGUCCCCUGGGGACUUGCUCGAGCCCAGCCAGGUGGCAGCAGGUGCGGCGGUGGCGGCGGCAGAGGAGGAGCCACCCAGCAGGGGCCGUGUCUACGCGGACCAAGACCGGAAUGGACUGAAGCUCCCCCCCCCGCCUCCCCACAUCUCCCUGCUCAUCCCCGGCUGGGCUGGAUGCCCCCGGCCCCCGGAUCCCGACAGAGGAGGAAGGCUGCUUAGGAGACUUCCUUAGCUAAUAGACAGACCCCUGCUGGUCUGCAGACUCCACCUGGAGAACCACUGGGGGAGAAGACCUUUCCCUAAUCUGAGACACCAAAUGGAAAUGAACAGGAUCCUACAACCUGUAGGUCUGUAACUCGGCUGCCAAAGGUGCCUCAGUGAGCGGCUGACGUAGCAGGGAGCUCACCUGGGUGAAUCAUUGCUGAAACGUGGGGCUGAGCGAGUCCGCAGUCACUGUGACUCCAUCUGGGGCUCUGGGCAGUUUUCCUCCCCUCCAGCGGCACCUUACACAACCUGUUCCACUGUUUGCUCAGAGGCCCAGACUGCUGUGCACUUCCUGCACCGACCAGCGCCAGAGGACUGCCAGAGUCGCUGGGGGCGGAGCCGGGCCUCCACUGGGCACAGAGGGAUCAUCUAACUUUCAUGGAGACAUGUUAAAUACUAAAGCAAGAGGCCAAUUGUCGACCAAUUAUUCAGGAGUCAGUGCCAGCCCCGGCUGGCUGAGGCGCGGUUAGGUAGGGGUGACAGACUCAGGAACAACCCUGUAGGUGUAAUCUCUGUGACCCAGCACAGGGGCCAGAGAUGACCAAGGAAGGGUUUGGAAGAGUCAAGAAAGCCAGAAUUUGCUUGACAAAUAUUAACCCUUUGAUGAAAAAGCACCUGCCUUUCUCAAGUCAGUUGUGUCCCUGACUCUAAACAGGUGUAAUGGCACAUGACCUGAGGGACCCUGUCUAAAGGUGAGACCUGCUUGGGAUCCCUCAGCUCCAGCAAACAGUCACUGUGGCAUGGAAUGGGCUCCUGGGAAGGCACUAGGGAGAAUAUAUGGCAUAUGCCAUACAUUAUUACAGUAGACUCAGGAGAUGGAAGAAUCUGAAGGGUUGCCUCUGGCCAUCUGACCCUCAGCUGUACCAUUUCCUGCUGCCAUUUUCUUGGGCAAGUGCUCAUGUGAAUAAUGGGUGAGACAAACCUCUAUUGGAAGAAAGGCCCCAAGAGCUGAAGACCAUUAUAGGAACACCCAAGGCCCAUAACCGAAGCAAUGAGCCCCUGGAAUCUGGUCACGGGUUGCUUUUAGGAAAAAGCAUGGAACUCCUGAAAGGAAAGGUACAAGAGCUGCAAACCUUUGGCAGAGGACAUGAUCCAUCCAAGCAGGCUGGAAGAACUGAAGGAAAACACCAGCUUCUUGAGCCAUCUUUGGGUUUGCAGCCUUCCCUUCAUUCCCCUCCCCUUCAUUCAACUCAAUGAAACAGUAAUUAAGCUCCUACUCUGUGGUAAGGCCGAGUACUAGGCAGACAAAAACCACAAGUCAAACACUGCCCCCCCCCAACUAAGCAGUCCCUGUCCAUAAGGGGCUUAUAUUCUACUGGGGAAAGGGCUAUAGAAGGUACAGAAAUAAGGAAACACAAAGUAAUUUAAGGAGAAAGAACACAUUAUCAACUGGGAACGUGUGGAGGAGGUGUUCUCCAAGCUGAACUCCAAAGUAAGCUAGGGUUUUUGAAAGGCAGAUGUUCUAGGAAACCCGGCCAAGGAGACUGCAUUUUAUCUUGGAUGUAAUAAGGAGUCACUUAGAUUCUGGAGCAGAGAAAUUUCAUGUCAAACUUGGGUCUUAAAAGGACUAUUUUGGCAAAUAUGUGGAAAAUGGGUAUGAAAAGGGAGAGACUGGAAAUACGGACAUGAAGUAGGAGGAUAUUCAAAGAGUCCACCAAGCGGUAUUAUUGUGGCAGUGGAGCAGAUGGAGACGAGUGAUAUUGUGGAGGUCAAAGUGAUAGGACUUGGUAACCAGUCAGAUAUUAGGUAUUAGGAAGAGAGAAGGAUUAAAAAUUCCAGGACUGCAAAAUUGGGUGUUUGGGAUGAUGGCUCCCUCAAUAGAAAUAAGGAAGUUAAGAAAGAGGACAUAUAUAGGGGGAAAAAUAUUUGAUUUGCUUUUGAAUAUGUGUAGCCUGAGAAAAUAAUGGGAUAACCAUUUGGAGAUCUCCACUGAGUAGUUGGCAAUGUGGGACUACAGCUCAGGAGUGAGACUAGUGCUAGAAAUCUAGAUCUGGGAGUUGAAUGUGUAGUGAUAAAUUGAUAACUGAACCCACGAUUAGGUGAUUAUAUGAAGUUAAUGGGAUCACCAGCAGAAAGAGUGGAGAGAAUAAGGCUGCCAUACUGUGGGAGGGCCCACUUGAGACUAGAUAGAAUGAAUUUAGGAUUCUAUAGAGAAGGACCAGCGUCACUGUUUAAUGACUUCUGUCACUUGCACAAGACUAGGAUCUAAGAAAAUGGAUAUUGAGGGUUACCUAGCAAUGAGGAUGGACAGAGUGUCAGCGGUGGUAGGGCAAGGGAUUCCAGGGUAAAGGACAGUUAAUAGUAUGGUCAGGACUGUGAAUAAAGGAAAGUGAGAUCAGAACA
ensembl:lncRNA